AUUUCUAAGUGAGUCAAUAACUUUAGCUCGAUAAAGAUAUGAAUAGCGACAAAGCUAGCGAUAAGGAGGGAGCGGGAGCGAUAGGCAAGAUCCUCAGAAACAGCUAAAAAGAGGGAAAGGAGGCUUACUAGACCCAGAGAAAUAUACAGGGUACACAGGAGCAGCAGGAAGUGAAGAGACUCCAGAGGCCACAUAGGCACGCUUGAAGCAACACAUGCAGGCAGAGGCAUACAGAGUGAAUCCCGAUAUGCCUCUAUUCGAACGCUGUUCAAUCCAAGAUGCUGUUUAUAUCUGCAGUCAUGCCAAUAAUGUCUAUCUAUUGAUUACCA